CCUACGGGGGGCUGCAGUAAGGAAUAUUGGUCAAUGGGCGCAAGCCUGAACCAGCCAUGCCGCGUGAAGGAUGACGGCCCUAUGGGUUGUAAACUUCUUUUGUACGGGAAAAAACCUCUGGUCGUGAAUCAGAGCUGAUGGUACCGUAAGAAUAAGCAUCGGCUAACUCCGUGCCAGCAGCCGCGGUAAUACGGAGGAUGCAGGCGUUAUCCGGUUUCAGUGGGCGCAGAGGGUGCGCUAACGGAGCAGUGAAAGCCUACAGCUUAACUGUAGAACUGCCAUUGAUACUGUUAUUCUUGAGUGUUGUAGAGGUAGGCGGAAUGUGUCAUGUAGCGGUGAAAUGCUUAGAUAUGACACAGAACACCGAUCGCGAAGGCAGCUUACCAGGCAACAACUGACGCUCAUGCACGAAAGCGUGGGGAUCAAACAGGAUUAGAUACCCCUGUAGUC
rnacentral:rRNA from 1 species